GAGAGCCGGAUGCGGGAGAUCUGCAUGUCCGGUUCGAUGAGCGGGAUGUGGAAACGGAGUCACGGCUGAACCACUAAGGCACCGCCAGACGAAAGAGGCGGCAACAGAUAUGUUCAACCUAAAGCCACCGCGCCACAUCUCGACUCUAC
rnacentral:ncRNA from 2 species